ACAAACUUGGUCAUUUAGAGGAAGUAAAAGUCGUAACAAGGUUUCCGUAGGUGAACCUGCGGAAGGAUCAUUAAUGAAUUUAAUUGACAGGGUUGUCGCUGGCCUUCUGGGCAUUGUGCACGCCUUGCUCAAAUUAAUCCAUCAUCACACCUUUGUGCACCUCUCAUGGAAUGGCUUAAUUUAAAGGGCGAAUGCUUCGGCGUAGCCUGGGUCGUUCUGUGCAUUUUAAUACCAACUUUAAAGUUUAAGAAUGUCUCUAUUGCGAAUGCAAUAAAUAUAUAACUUUCAGCAACGGAUCUCUUGGCUCUCGCAUCGAUGAAGAACGCAGC
rnacentral:misc_RNA from 1 species